rnacentral:tRNA from 1 species
GCGCUCGUAGCUCAGCGGAUAGAGCGUGUGACUACGGAUCAGAAGGUUGGGGGUUCGAAUCCCUCCGAGCGCG